rnacentral:rRNA from 1 species
GAAUCUUGGAGAACACCGACCAGGACUCUAACGGAAGCAGCAGUAGGCAUCUCGCAUUGGACGAAAGUUCGAACGAGCACGCGCGUGAGGUGAUGAACGUUUCGAUCGUAAACUUCUGUGUCGGGAGGAACAAGUACUGAUAGUAACUGAUCGCUACUGACGUACCGACAGAAAGUCUCGGCUACUACGUGGCCAGCAGCCGCGGUAAUACGUAGGUGGCAAGCGUCGUCCGGAAUUAUGGGCGUAAAGCGCUCGCAGGCGGUUCUUUAAGUCUGAUGUGAAAUCUUGCGGCUCAACCGUAAACGGUGCAUUGGAAACUGGAGGACUUGAGUGCAGAAGAGGAGAGUGGAAUUCCACGUGUAGCGGUGAAAUGCGUAGAGAUGUGGAGGAACACCCAGUGGCGAAGGCGACUCUCUGGUCUGUAACUGACGCUGAGGAGCGAAAGCGUGGGGAGCGAACAGGAUUAGAUACCCUGGUAGUUCCCGCCGUAAACGAUGAGUGCUAGGUGUUAGGGGGUUUCCGCCCCUUAGUGCUGAAGUUAACGCAUUAAGCCCUCCGCCUGGGGAGUACGGCCGCAAGGCUGAAACUCAAAAGAAUUGACGGGGACCCGCACAAGCGGUGGAGCAUGUGGUUUAAUUUGAAGCAACGCGAAGAACCUUACCCGGUCUUGACCUCCUUUGCCCGCUGUGGAGACAGAGUUUUCCCUUUGGGGACAAAAUGACAGGUGGUGCCUGGUUGUUGUCAGCUCGUGUCGUGAGAUGUUGGGUUAAGUCCCGCAACGAGCGCCACCCUUGAUUUUAGUUGCCCGCCUUUAGUUGGGCCCUUUAAGGUGACUGCCGGUGACAAACCGGAGGAAGGGGGGGAAGACGUCAAAUCAUCAUGCCCCUUAUGACCUGGGCUACCCACGUGGUACAAUGGACGGAACAAAGGGAAGCAAAACCGGGAGGUCAAGCAAAUUCCAUAAAACCCUUUUCAGUUUGGAUUGUAGGGUGCAACUUGCCUACCAGAAGCCGGAAUCGCUUGUAAUCGCGGAUCAGCCAGCCGCGGGGAAUACGUUCCCGGGUCUUGUACCCCCCCCCCCUCCCCCCCCGAGAUUUUGUAAAACGACGGCCAGUAGAGUUGAUCAUGGCUCAGGACGACCGCUGGCGGUGGCCAG